GACGAACGCUGGCGGCGUGCUUAACACAUGCAAGUCGAACGGAAAGGCCCUGCUUUUGUGGGGUGCUCGAGUGGCGAACGGGUGAGUAACACGUGAGUAACCUGCCCUUGACUUUGGGAUAACUUCAGGAAACUGGGGCUAAUACCGGAUAGGAGCUCCUGCUGCAUGGUGGGGGUUGGAAAGUUUCGGCGGUUGGGGAUGGACUCGCGGCUUAUCAGCUUGUUGGUGGGGUAGUGGCUUACCAAGGCUUUGACGGGUAGCCGGCCUGAGAGGGUGACCGGCCACAUUGGGACUGAGAUACGGCCCAGACUGCUACGGGGGGCAGCAGUGGGGAAUAUUGCACAAUGGGCGGAAGCCUGAUGCAGCAGCGCCGCGUGCGGGAUGACGGCCUUCGGGUUGUAAACCGCUUUCGCCUGUGACGAAGCGUGAGUGACGGUAAUGGGUAAAGAAGCACCGGCUAACUACGUG
rnacentral:rRNA from 1 species